CCCUCUAUGGGUCCCUCUGUGGGUCACUGUGUGGGUCAAUGUGUGUCCCUCUAUGGGUCAAUGUGUGUCCCUCUCUGGGUCCCUCUAUGGGUCAAUGUGUGGCCCUCUAUUGGUCCCCCUAUGGGUUCAAUGUGUGGGUCAGUGUGUGGGUCAAUAUGUGUCCCUCUAUGGGUCCCCAUAUGGGUCGAUGUGUGGGUCAAUGUGUGUCCCUCUAUGGGUCCCCCUAUGGUCCCCUAUGGGUCAAUGUGGGUCCCUCUAUGGAUCCGCCUAUGGGUCCCUCUCUGGUCCCCCUAUGGGUCCCCCUAUGGGUCAGUGUGUGGGUCCCUCUAUGGGUCACUGUGUGGGUCAAUGUGUGUCCCUCUAUGGGUCCCUCUAUGGGUCCCUCUAUGGGUCAGUGUGUGGGUCCCUCUAUGGGUCACUGUGUGGGUCAAUGUGUGUCCCUCUAUGGGUCAAUGUGUGUCCCUCUCUGGGUCCCCCUAUGGGUCCCUCUAUGUGUCCCCCUAUGGGGGCAAUGUGUGUCCCUCUAUGGGUCCCCCUAUGGGUCAAUGUGUGUCCCCCUACGGGCCCCCCUAUGGGUCAGUGUGUGUCCCUCUAUGGGUCCCUCUAUGGGUCCCUCUAUGGGUCAGUGUGUGGGUCAUUGUGUGUCCCUCUAUGGGUCCCCCUAUGGGUCCCCCUAUGGGUCAAUGUGUGUCCCUCUAUGGGUCCCCCUAUGGUCAGUUGUGUGGGUCAGUGUGUGUCCCUCUAUGGGUCCCUCUAUGUGUCCCCCUAUGGGGCAAUGUGUGUCCCUCUAUGGGUCCCCCUAUGGGUCAGUGU
rnacentral:lncRNA from 1 species